rnacentral:rRNA from 1 species
GACGAACGCUGGCGGCGUGCUUAACACUUGCAAGUCGAACGGAAAGGCCCUGCUUUUGUGGGGUGCUCGAGUGGCGAACGGGUGAGUAGCACGUGAGUAACCUGCCCUUGACUUUGGGAUAACUUCAGGAAACUGGGGCUAAUACCGGAUAGGAGCUCCUGCUGCAUGGUGGGGGUUGGAAAGUUUCGGCGGUUGGGGAUGGACUCGCGGCUUAUCAGCUUGUUGGUGGGGUAGUGGCUUACCAAGGCUUUGACGGGUAGCCGGCCUGAGAGGGUGACCGGCCACAUUGGGACUGAGAUACGGCCCAGACUCCUACGGGAGGCAGCAGUGGGGAAUAUUGCACAAUGGGCGGAAGCCUGAUGCAGCAACGCCGCGUGCGGGAUGACGGCCUUCGGGUUGUAAACCGCUUUCGCCUGUGACGAAGCGUGAGUGACGGUAAUGGGUAAAGAAGCACCGGCUAACUACGUG